rnacentral:tRNA from 1 species
GGGGAUGAAGCUCAGAUGGUAGAGCGCUCGCUUAGCAUGCGAGAAGUACGGGGAUCGAUACCCUGCAUCUCCA